rnacentral:rRNA from 1 species
CGGCGGACGGGUGAGUAACACGUGGAUAACCUACCUAUAAGACUGGGAUAACUUCGGGAAACCGGAGCUAAUACCGGAUAAUAUAUUGAACCGCAUGGUUCAAUAGUGAAAGACGGUUUUGCUGCCACUUAUAGAUGGAUCCGCGCCGCAUUAGCUAGUUGGUAAGGUAACGGCUUACCAAGGCGACGAUGCGUAGCCGACCUGAGAGGGUGAUCGGCCACACUGGAACUGAGACACGGUCCAG